CCUUUUGCAUCUAAGGAGAUUUAGGAAUCCAAAUGAUCCCCUGAGAGAGAUCUGAAGAAGGAAGAAGAAGGUGAUUCAACUUUGGAUUUCUGAAGAUCCACGACAUAGCACUUAGAAGAGAUAAUAGUGUCCUGGAACAUUCUUCUCUUAAGAGGAUCACCUAACCCUCUAAUAUUCCAUAUUAGAAUUGACAUAAUCCAAGAUAGAAGUACCACCAAUAAACUGACCAAGGCCCA
rnacentral:lncRNA from 1 species